AAGCAUAUCAAUAAGCGGAGGAUAAGAAACCAACAGGGAUUGCCCCAGUAACGGCGAGUGAAGCGGCAAUAGCUCAAAUUUGAAAUCUGGCUCUUUCAGGGUCCGAGUUGUAAUUUGCAGAGGGCGCUUUGGUGUCGGCAGCGGCCUAAGUUCCUUGGAACAGGUCAUCAUAGAGGGUGAGAAUCCCGUAUGUGGCUGCUUGUCUUCACCGUGUAAAGCCCCUUCGAUGAGUCGAGUUGUUUGGGAAUGCAGCUCUAAAUGGGAGGUAAAUUUCUUCUAAAGCUAAAUAUUGGCCAGAGACCGAUAGCGCACAAGUAGAGUGAUCGAAAGAUGAAAAGCACUUUGGAAAGAGAGUCAAAAAGCACGUGAAAUUGUUGAAAGGGAAGCGCUUGCAGCCAGACGUGCCUGUAGUUGCUCAUCUGGGGAGUUCCCCAGUGCACUCUUCUAUGGGCAGGCCAGCAUCAGUUCGGGCGGUUGGAGAAAGACCUGUGUCACGUAGCUCUCUUCGGGGAGUGUUAUAGGGCAGGUGGAAUGCAACCAGCCUGGACUGAGGUCCGCGCAUCUGCUAGGAUGCUGGCGUAAUGGCUGUAAGCGGCCCGUCUUGAAACACGGACCAAGGAGUCUAACAUCUAUGCGAGUGUUUGGGUGUCAAGCCCGAGCGCGUAAUGAAAGUGAACGGAGGUGGGAACCCCUCGGGGUGCACCAUCGACCGAUCCUGAUGUCUUCGGAUGGAUUUGAGUAAGAGCAUAGCUGUUGGGACCCGAAAGAUGGUGAACUAUGCCUGAAUAGGGUGAAGCCAGAGGAAACUCUGGUGGAGGCUCGCAGCGGUUCUGACGUGCAAAUCGAUCGUCAAAUUUGGGCAUAGGGGCGAAAGACUAAUCGAACUAUCUAGUAGCUGGUUACUGCGA
rnacentral:rRNA from 1 species